AUUGAACGCUGGCGGCAUGCCUUACACAUGCAAGUCGAACGGCAGCACGGGUGCUUGCACCUGGUGGCGAGUGGCGAACGGGUGAGUAAUACAUCGGAACGUACCUUAUCGUGGGGGAUAACGCAGCGAAAGCUGUGCUAAUACCGCAUACGCCCUGAGGGGGAAAGCGGGGGAUCGCAAGACCUCGCGCGAUUAGAGCGGCCGAUGCCUGAUUAGCUUGUUGGUGGGGUAAAAGCCCACCAAGGCGACGAUCAGUAGCUGGUCUGAGAGGACGAUCAGCCACACUGGGACCGAGACACGGCCCAGAAUCCUACGGGAGGCAGCAGUGGGGAAUUUUGGACAAUGGGGGCAACCCUGAUCCAGCAAUGCCGCGUGAGUGAAGAAGGCCUUCGGGUUGUAAAGCUUUUUUGUCAGGGAAGAAACACCGGCUCUAACACAGUCCGGGAAUGACGGUACCUGAAGAAUAAGCACCGGCUAACUACGUGCCAGCCGCCGCGGUAA
rnacentral:rRNA from 1 species